ACGUUCGGGUAAUCGCUGCAAGGAGCCUCUUGGCGAAUUGUAGAGGAAAGUCCAUGCUCGCACGGGCUGCGAUGCUCGUAGUGUUCGUGCCUAGUGAAUUCAUAAGCUAGGGCAGUUGGGGCAAGAACCCAGCUGACGGCCGGGAAAGUACCUAAGUCCUUUGGAUAUGGUAUGAAUACCUAUAAAAGUGCCACAGUGACGGAGCCUUUCCAGAAAUGGAAAGGGUGGAACGCGGUAAACCCCACGAGCGAGAAACCCAAAUUAUGGUAGGGGCACUUUCUCUGAGGAAUUGAACAAGGAGAAGGACAGUUUCAUUCAUGAAUCUGUAGAUAGAUGAUUACCACCGAAGUACGAGACUGAAUAGUCGUUUGUAGUACUAUGGUACAGAACAUGGCUUACAGAA
rnacentral:RNase_P_RNA from 2 species